GGAGGAGUGAAAAACAAAAUUAACAAUCAAAAAGAAGUUAGUCAAAUGAGUCCUGUGGCCAUUCUGUUCAUAGUGUUUGGGGCAUUUCUCAUGUUUUUGUUCAUCUUGUGGCUCAUUCACUUUCUCUACCACAAAGCUAAGAAGGAUGGCAAGGAAAGCAUCGCCUGUCUUGGCAGCGGUUACGGUGGUGAUUUUGGCGGUUGACUUUAAUCUUACUCGUGCAUCGGUGCAUGGAAACGUGUAGUUUCAAUAUUUUUGUUGGGAUAUAUAUAUAUAUAUAUAUUUAUCCAUACAAGUUCUUCGUUAAUUGUAUAUCUUUUGAAGUAUCAUUCAUAUAAUAGAUUGUUCUAAGUUCGUAAUUAUGCAAAAAUGGUCUAUGCAUGUGCUUGUGUAUAACCGGGAAAAUUGAUUGAAAGUCUCUUCUUAUUAGUCAACAGUUU
rnacentral:sRNA from 1 species